rnacentral:rRNA from 1 species
GAGUUUGAUCGUGGCUCAGGAUGAACGCUGGCGGCGUGCCUAACACAUGCAAGUCGAACGGAGUUUAUGAGGAAGAAGCUUCGGCGGAAUUCUUAUAAACUUAGUGGCGGACGGGUGAGUAACACGUGGAGAACCUGCCUCUUACCGGGGGACAGCAGUUGGAAACGACUGAUAAUACCGCAUAAGCGCACGAGACCGCAUGGUCCUGUGUGAAAAGAUUUAUCGGUAAGAGA